rnacentral:rRNA from 1 species
AUACAUGCAAGUCGAGCGGACCGACGGGAGCUUGCUCCCUUAGGUCAGCGGCGGACACCUGAGUAACACGUGGGUAACCUGCCUGUAAGACUGGGAUAACUCCGGGAAACCGGGGCUAAUACCGGAUGCUUGAUUGAACCGCAUGGUUCAAUCAUAAAAGGCGGCUUCGGCUGCCGUUUACAGAUGGACCCGCGGCGCAUUAGCUAGUUGGUGAGGUAACGGCUCACCAAGGCGACGAUGCGUAGCCGACCUGAGAGGGUGAUCGGCCACACUGGGACUGAGACACGGCCCAGACUCCUACGGGAGGCAGCAGUAGGGAAUCUUCCGCAAUGGACGAAAGUCUGACGGAGCAACGCCGCGUGAGUGAUGAAGGUUUUCGGAUCGUAAAGCUCUGUUGUUAGGGAAGAACAAGUACCGUUCGAAUAGGGCGGUACCUUGACGGUACCUAACCAGAAAGCCACGGCUAACUACGUGCCAGCAGCCGCGGUAAUACGUAGGUGGCAAGCGUUGUCCGGAAUUAUUGGGCGUAAAGCGCGCGCAGGCGGUUUCUUAAGUCUGAUGUGAAAGCCCCCGGCUCAACCGGGGAGGGUCAUUGGAAACUGGGGAACUUGAGUGCAGAAGAGGAGAGU